GGUCGCAUCGUCGAAAACACGCGAUCUAUCCUAUAUUCCUUAUCUCCUGGUACAUUUGUAUCAAUCGCGUAGUAGUAUUUGCAAUAAAUUGUGGUGUAUUUGUGUUUGUGUUAUGUUUAAAAAAAGGUAAAUGAUAAUGCAAAAGUGGAAGGAAAAUAUUUUUUGAAACAUGGAUUGGAAAUGAUUUAGCGUUAAAAAUGAUAGCGAUACAAUCAUGGCCUCGGACCAAUAUAGUGUUUUGUGUAUUUACUGUGUUCAUCACAAUGAUAAUAGUGCAAGUGACAAGUUUAAGUGGUCCAAAUGUCUGCAUGGUACAACAAAAAUACAAUAUCACGAAGCGUGUAAAAUAUCGCGCACCGAUGUCGGUCAGGACUUACGAAUGGUGCUUCUCAAUGCCACCACGGUGUUCACGGUGGAAAACCGAAAUGCGAGACCUAACGAGAUUAGAGACAGAGGAGCGUAUGGCUGAAGUAGCUGUUUGCUGCCCGGGAUACAAAAUGAAAGAUAUUUCUUGUGUGCCAAUUUGUCCAAACGGAAAAAUGGGAACUCGAUGUUCUGAAGAAUGUCCUCCGAACAAAUGGGGACCAAACUGCGUUCAUGAAUGCGCCAAAUGUUUAAAAGGAUUCUGUUCACCCACCACUGGACGAUGUGAAUGCCUCGAAGGAUGGCAAGGUGAGAGUUGUAAUAUCCGCAUGACAACAACGCCUCCGCCUGCUUUAAUGGAAGAAUUACUAACAACAACAAAAUCUACUGUCCAAACAACUCACCCUUCUACUAAAACAAAUAUAUUUACAAGUACAAGUACGACUUUAAGAAUAACUACUCAAAUAACAACUAGUCCUCCUUCCAAUAGAACAUUUUUCUCGAAACCAACUACAAACAUAGUAACCGAAGCCAGUAGUACUACCACAACAACUUCCCCAGAGAAACCAACUAUGUCGGAUAUAUUCAAUGUGACAUCAAUUUCACAUAUUGAUAAAGCAAUUGAAGGUAUAACUACAAUGAAUACGCUUAGUACUUUUAUAUAUAAUAGAACUGAAACGCCUGCAGAAGGUACGUCAAACAGUAUGAACACUGCGCAUGUUACUUCAACAACUAUUAAAAUUCCAUUAACUACUAAAACCAUUUCAAAUCAAAAUCUUUCUACUACUCCAACUCCAACAUCAACUUCUACUACCACAGCACCUACAAGUAGAGCUACUUUAAGUACAACAAAAGAUCUUCCCACAACAACGGACAUGAUUAAAAAAGCAGACACAGUACAGCAAUCUAACUUGACGAUUCCAAAAUUGAAACCGAAGGAGAUAUGGAUAAAACCAACCCAAAAAGGCAUAUCCACAGAAUUUAAAAUAAAAGUGAAUAACGAUCUGUCGCAUGUUCGUGUAAAUGGAACUAAAAAUGAAAUAUUAUCUGAAAUUACUACACCAAGGACCAUAAUAGUUUCCAUAAUACCAACCUCAGUAUCACACGCUUCAUUUAAGAAAAUAGCCUUUACAACAGCCUCUUAUACACCAUUAAGGACUAAUGUAAGUUCGAAGAAACAAAAAUAUGUGGAUCUGGAGAGAAUAGAAGCCGGUGUUACGAAAUCAAUGUCGACAGAAACUUCAACACAGGCACCGUUCACUAUUAAAAUAUUAUCUUCACCGCAAAGGAAUAUUUCUACCUCCUUUCAGGCAAAAAAUGUUACUAAUGCUGUAUCUAAGAAUAUUCCAAGAAAAGCUUUUAUUAGCACUCCUUCUUCUCAUUCUACUUCUUCAACCAAAGCGGCAGUUUUUAAAAUACCAACAUCGACAGUUAAAUCGACUAACAGCAUGUCCAGCACCUCAAAUUCAAGCACAUUUAAAAAAAUCUUGAAAUCUUCUAACGUUUUAACUUUACGACCUUCGACUAACAUAACUUCAAAAAUAACAACUCAACGUACGAUAAAUCUAAAAGAUGAGACAAGGUAUUUGAAAGAUGGUAUUUUCAAAACAAAAGAGUUUCCUUUGCAGACAACUACAUUAAAGUCAGUCACAACUAAUGUUACAAGUAAAUUGAAAACGCAUAGUCCAGUAAAACAGACACAUAGGAUUGAUCAGAAAAAUGUUACUAAAACAAUUUCUAACGUUCUUUCGACUGAAACUCCAACUGAAGAUGAAACAUUUCAUAUUUUAACAGAACCGGAGCAUAUCACAGCCGUUAUGUCAGAAAAGGAAAGAGAAAAAAGUUCAUUAGAUCUUAUUUCUGUAAUAAGUGUUGCUGGUGGUAUAAUGAUGGCAGUAAUUACAGUAGCAGUUUUAAUAGUUAUGUUUGAAAGAUGUAGGAGACCAAGUUAUGAGGAUGUUAGAAAAAUGAACGAUAUUAGGAUGCAAGUAAUGAUUGAUAAUAAUGACGAACCGCCGCCAUACGUGAGGAGCAUAUUUCAUACACCACUGCCAGAUCCACCACAAUCAGAAAAAUGCCACUAUCAACCAAUAUCUACGUUGGAUAGAAACUUAAAACAAUUCAUGAGACCAGUUGUAGUUCAAAAUAUUUCGCCAAUUAUGUUGGAAAAUUUCCGAGGAAUACUUGAGUGUCAUUACGACCAUUUACCACGGAGGAACCACGAUAUCGGCAUAAUAUCUACUCGGUCUUCAAUAGCGCCAUCUAUUAUUCACGAUGAGAAACAUCAUAGUGCACGAACGUCUGUUACCGACUAUACCAUUGACGCGCUAAAGUGUGAAGCCAAAUUAGAUGCAAUGGAUAACACUAGCUCUGAACCAUUGUAUGCAGAAAUACCAUGCUGGCGACCACCCUCUGAACACGCCGUUGAAGUCAUGAAUUUAAACGGUGAAGCUGUGACUGAAUUAUGACCUAAUUUAAAAAUAAAACACAAGAGAUACUAACUUUACUUCAAAGAUGGCGUUGGUGAACAUCAAUGAAAACGUGUUUAACUUCUUGUAAAAUUAUUUUAUUAUAUUAUAAAUAAGAACUAUGAGUAGAUUGUGGCAAGGAUUCAAAAUAAUGAAGACUUUUACCUGUAAUAUUAAAUAGAAUAAUUUGUGUAUGAGGAUUUCAAGUUGAAAUAAAAAAAUGUGCUUUAAUAAGGUUUUAACUUUUAAUAGUUUAUUUUUCUUCAUACCCCAUGCCUAAGAAUAAUUAUUAUUAAACUACCUAAUUAUCGUUGUGGUCUUUGUUUGUG